UGGGGAAUAUUGGGCAAUGGGCGAAAGCCUGACCCAGCGACGCCGCGUGAAGGAAGAAGGUCUUCGGAUUGUAAACUUAUGUCAGCAGGGAAGAAGCAAGUGACGGUACCUGCAGAGGAAGCCACGGCUAACUACGUGCCAGCAGCCGCGGUAAUACGUAGGUGGCGAGCGUUGUCCGGAAUUACUGGGUGUAAAGGGUGUGUAGGCGGGCAUACAGGUCAGAUGUGAAAGAUGUGGGCUUAACCCACAAGCUGCAUUUGAAACCUUAUGUCUUGAGCGCGGGAGAGGUAAGCGGAAUUCCCAGUGUAGCGGUAAAAUGCGUAGAUAUUGGGAGGAACACCAGUGGCGAAGGCGGCUUACUGGACUGAGGCUGACGCUGAGACACGAAAGCGUGGGGAGCAAACA
rnacentral:rRNA from 1 species